UGCUAUACAUGCAAGUCGAGCGGACAGAAGGGAGCUUGCUCCCGGAUGUUAGCGGCGGACGGGUGAGUAACACGUGGGUAACCUGCCUGUAAGACUGGGAUAACUCCGGGAAACCGGAGCUAAUACCGGAUAGUUCCUUGAACCGCAUGGUUCAAGGAUGAAAGACGGUUUCGGCUGUCACUUACAGAUGGACCCGCGGCGCAUUAGCUAGUUGGUGAGGUAACGGCUCACCAAGGCAACGAUGCGUAGCCGACCUGAGAGGGUGAUCGGCCACACUGGGACUGAGACGCGGCCCAGACUCCUACGGGAGGCAGCAGUAGGGAAUCUUCCGCAAUGGACGAAAGUCUGACGGAGCAACGCCGCGUGAGUGAUGAAGGUUUUCGGAUCGUAAAGCUCUGUUGUUAGGGAAGAACAAGUGCAAGAGUAACUGCUUGCACCUUGACGGUACCUAACCAGAAAGCCACGGCUAACUACGUGCCAGCAGCCGCGGUAAUACGUAGGUGGCAAGCGUUGUCCGGAAUUAUUGGGCGUAAAGGGCUCGCAGGCGGUUUCUUAAGUCUGAUGUGAAAGCCCCCGGCUCAACCGGGGAGGGUCAUUGGAAACUGGGAAACUUGAGUGCAGAAGAGGAGAGUGGAAUUCCACGUGUAGCGGUGAAAUGCGUAGAGAUGUGGAGGAACACCAGUGGCGAAGGCGACUCUCUGGUCUGUAACUGACGCUGAGGAGCGAAAGCGUGGGGAGCGAACAGGAUUAGAUACCCUGGUAGUCCACGCCGUAAACGAUGAGUGCUAAGUGUUAGGGGGUUUCCGCCCCUUAGUGCUGCAGCUAACGCAUUAAGCACUCCGCCUGGGGAGUACGGUCGCAAGACUGAAACUCAAAGGAAUUGACGGGGGCCCGCACAAGCGGUGGAGCAUGUGGUUUAAUUCGAAGCAACGCGAAGAACCUUACCAGGUCUUGACAUCCUCUGACAACCCUAGAGAUAGGGCUUUCCCUUCGGGGACAGAGUGACAGGUGGUGCAUGGUUGUCGUCAGCUCGUGUCGUGAGAUGUUGGGUUAAGUCCCGCAACGAGCGCAACCCUUGAUCUUAGUUGCCAGCAUUUAGUUGGGCACUCUAAGGUGACUGCCGGUGACAAACCGGAGGAAGGUGGGGAUGACGUCAAAUCAUCAUGCCCCUUAUGACCUGGGCUACACACGUGCUACAAUGGACAGAACAAAGGGCUGCGAGACCGCAAGGUUUAGCCAAUCCCACAAAUCUGUUCUCAGUUCGGAUCGCAGUCUGCAACUCGACUGCGUGAAGCUGGAAUCGCUAGUAAUCGCGGAUCAGCAUGCCGCGGUGAAUACGUUCCCGGGCCUUGUACACACCGCCCGUCACACCACGAGAGUUUGCAACACCCGAAGUCGGUGAGGUAACCUUUAUGGAGCCAG
rnacentral:rRNA from 1 species